rnacentral:rRNA from 1 species
AGCAGCCGCCACGGGAAUACAGAGGGUGCGAGCGUUAAUCGGAUUUACUGGGCGUAAAGCGUGCGUAGGCGGCUUCUUAAGUCGGAUGUGAAAUCCCUGAGCUUAACUUAGGAAUUGCAUUCGAUACUGGGAAGCUAGAGUAUGGGAGAGGAUGGUAGAAUUCCAGGUGUAGCGGUGAAAUGCGUAGAGAUCUGGAGGAAUACCGAUGGCGAAGGCAGCCAUCUGGCCUAAUACUGACGCUGAGGUACGAAAGCAUGGGGAGCAAACAGGAUUAGAUACCCGUGUAGUCCCUGUCUCUUAUAC